GACGAACGCUGGCGGCGCGCCUAGCACAUGCAAGUCGAACGGAGCUGAGAGGAGCUUGCUUUUCUUAGCUUAGUGGCGAACGGGUGAGUAACGCGUGAGUAACCUGCCCUGGAGUGGGGGACAACAGUUGGAAACGACUGCUAAUACCGCAUAAGCCCACGGUCUCGCAUGGGACUGAGGGAAAAGGAUUUAUUCGCUUCAGGAUGGACUCGCGUCCAAUUAGCUAGUUGGUGAGGUAACGGCCCACCAAGGCGACGAUUGGUAGCCGGACUGAGAGGUUGAACGGCCACAUUGGGACUGAGACACGGCCCAGACUCCUACGGGAGGCAGCAGUGGGGGAUAUUGCACAAUGGGGGAAACCCUGAUGCAGCGACGCCGCGUGGAGGAAGAAGGUUUUCGGAUUGUAAACUCCUGUCGUUAGGGACGAUAAUGACGGUACCUAACAAGAAAGCACCGGCUAACUACGUGCCAGCCGCCGCGGUAAUAC
rnacentral:rRNA from 1 species